GACCAGCAGAACCCCGCGCAGCCCACGGAUGGGCACGCGCCGUGUCUCGCAGAGCUGCGACCGCAGCCCGGAGCCCAGCCCGGAGCCCAGCCCGGAGCCCAGCCUGUCCGAGGAGGUGGAGAUCGCCCACACCGGGAUCCCCCUAAUGCUGUCCCGAGGAUCAGCCCCAGGAACACGAAGAGCUCGGCCCGCGCCAGCCCCUCCCCGGGGCACGAUCGCGCCCCGCAGCCGAACGGCAGCAGCGACCGCGAGGGGGCGCCCGGGGCCAGGAACCGCUCUGGGGGCGACGGGUCAGGGCGGUGCAGCAAGAAGGCCACGGCCCAGCCCAGAGCAGCCGCUGUCGUCUCGGUGCCCCCAAUGAACAGACCCCUCCUGACCCCUGGCUGCCCCCCACCUCCCCGGGACUCUCCACCUGGUGCCGCCGGAUCUGGGCCUCCACGAAGGUGUCACGAUGCUGGACGAGCCGCAGCAGCUUCCGCAAUCCCGGGUUGGGCAGGGCCUGGGCAUAGGGACUCCUUAGGGACCCCCAACCCCUAAGAAACCCUUGACCUCAGAGAGACACCUCCUUCCCCAGAGAUGCCACAUAAGUCUCCUGAGCCCCAGAGAAACCCUAUGGCUGCUCCCCUGGGCCACAUAGACCCUACAGGUGCUCUCCUUGCCCGUGUAGACCACUCCAACAUCCUAUAGGCACCCUCAGCUCCAUAGAGACACUUCACCCCAUAUAACCACCCCAGCCCUAUAGAGCCCCCACAACUGCCCCUCCCACGCCCACAGACUUUCCCAACACCAUACAGACCCUGUAACACUCCCCUUAGCCCCAUAUAGACACUAUAACCCCUGUCCAGCCCCAUAGAGACCCCAUCAUUCCCUUCCUAGGUUUAUACAGCCCCUUCCCAGCCCCAUAGAGACCACCCAAGCUCCAUAUGGACCCUGUAAGACCCCUGUCAGCCACCCAUACCCUUCCCCAGUCCCGUACAGAUCCUAUAACCUCUCUCCCAACCCCAUAUAACCCCCCCAGCCCUAUAUCCCUCCCCUGGGCCCCACAGCCCCCCCCCCCCAAGACUCAUAGCACUUCCCAGGGCCCUGUUGCCUCCACCAAGGGCCCUAUUGCCUCCCGUAGCCCCCCACAGUUCCCUCAUGGGCUCCAUGCAGCAAAAAGGCCGCGGCCCCAUAUGCCACCCCUAGGCCCUGCAGGCUUACCCGCAGCGGGGGCAGCAGGUCAAGCGCCCGUACACUGCUGUGCCCCCAAACCUGCAGCAGCUCCCCAAGGCAGCAGGAGAAGGCCCGGAGCUCUCCCGGAGGGGGCACCUGGGGGAGGACACAUCCAUGUACUGUCCAGUACUCGAGUUCCCUCUAGAUCCCCCCAGAACACCCCCAAUGCCAUUUCAGACACUUGGGUCCCCUCAAACUCCUCUGUGCCCCCAAACCCCUGCCACCCACCUGCAAAUUGCUCAGUCCUCCCAAACAGCUGCAUGUCCCUUCCACAAACUCCUGGGUCCCCCCCCAAACCCCCAGGGCCCCCGUAAAAACUGGGGUCCUCCCCCAAGCCCCUGUCUCCAUCCUGGGGCCCCCCCAAGUCCCCACCAGGUCCCCGAAGAGGACGCGUGCAAUGGUGCUGCAGGUCCAGACAAAGCUCAAUGCACAUGACCCACGUGGAGGAACUUUAUACAGAGCAAUCAGUUAUCUUUCCCAGUUCAGUGGCAGCGAUGGUCUGGAGAGACAGAGGGGCAUUGAUGGUGGAUGAAGUGGCUCACCUGUUCCAGGAGUACAAAGACAAUCUGUCUUCCUCCCUUGUACUGGCUGUGGAGAAACUGUCCUGGGAGUUCCAGCAAUUCAGCAUCCCAUCCUUCCAGAGGAAUGUCCUGCCCCCACCCAUAUGGAGCAGGCUCUCAGCUAUCAACAGGCAUCCUUUCUUCCUCAAGGGGGGAUGGAGAAGGUGCAAACCAUGGGGUACCGUUCUGACACCAGCAGCCAUCACUUGCGCCUGAACAGCUGGGCUGCUUGUCCCAGCACCUCUAAGAGCUGGACCACGUCAUUACCUGGGCCUGGAAAGCCAGUCCAUCCCACAGAGUACCAGGGAACUGGCCCCUCCCAGCCUCGUUAGGCGCCUAACACAUCUGCCUCCACCUGAUCCCCACGGCUGCCCAGCGCAACCAGAUGUGCACCACAGGACCAGCCCAGAGCCCUUCAGCCCCCAGAGGAACAGAACCCACUCCUGGACAGCUUCAGGGAGAAAUUAGUGGUUUCAGAAUAAAGGCAGAAUGAUAAACACAGAGCAGGAGCACAGUCGUCAGGGUUGUAAUGGCAGCAAACCCAGGAACUCACCAGUUCUUGAGUGAGGUGGGGGAUGCAUAUACUGCGAGUGAUGGUAGCAGUGUGUGUGGGCAUGAAAUACUGUUCCUGGGCACGCUGAUAUGAGGAUGAGACUGGGGGCCAGGCAGGCUGAGGAGGGUCCCAAGCCUGAGGAGGAGGCAGUGCUCUGUGUUUACCUCUGCUUAAACUGAAGCCCAUACUAUGACCUUGGCCAAACAACUUCAGUUUCUGGGCAUGUUUUGCAUCACUUUGUCCCAGUCUCAGGUUUUCGUGUAUUUAAUGCUGCUGCUCAAUAUUCUUUCCCUUCAGAGCUGCAGCUACAGUCUCCAUUCAAAGGAGAGCUGUUCCUCUCAUGAAGAAAAUGCAAGAGUAGAAGAACCGGGCCUGGAUGUGGAUCCAAUGGCCAUGACUUGCUGCUAUGGGCCAGAGGUCCAAGAGUCUUGCUGCUGGGGAGGCAAAGCUCCAUGACAUUCAUAUGCCCCUUCCCAGGGAGCACUGGCAUGACUGCGCCAGAGGUCUGUGCCAGGUGUGGAGAAGUGUAGUGGCUCAACAGGCACCCUCAAACUGGAAGCACUGGAAUCACCCUGGAGAUGGGCACCCAGCCUUGAACUGGGCACACCAAUCACCCCAUUGACAACUGGAACUGUGGCAAACCUGGAAUUUGAGCAGAGCUGGGCACCCCCAAGCCGGGACCACCACCCCCCAACAGGGACCACUGGGAUCCCCACCACAGAGAACCACCUCCAAACUGGGUUGCCUUAACAGGAAGGUCACAGACCGGAACUCUCCCUUACUGCAACACAACUGGGAUCCUCAUCUUCGCAGGACAGCCCACAACCAGCUCUGCCAAAUGCCACCUGUUGAAACACACCCACCAAGGCACCCCAAGGUGGGUGUCACUGCGCCUCCCAUACUUGCUGCAGCCCCACAAGUGCAGGGCAGCAGGUAGAGGAACAGAACCCUUCCCCAGCUGAAGCAUUGAGGACCCCCAUGCUCAGUGCCAAGACCAGCUGAAUUUGUGCACUCUGGGUCCUACUGGGGACCCAGUGUAACCACCCCACUGGCAGGGAUCCCUCCUGCCCCCUCAACACCUCCUUUUUCCUCCCCCACCAGCCCCAGACCCUGCCCUCCCCAGCUGAGGGACAGAAGGGAACUGCUAUGGUGUAU